AGUGCUGGGAUUACAGGCAUGAGCCACCGCGCCCAGCAGCUCUAUGCAUUUCUGAGUGUGAAUCCCAUUGCUUUAUGAUUGUGUUCUGGUUUUUGUUUUACCACUAGAUUGUGAUUUUCCUACCAGGUCUCAUUCAUUCUUCUGACUCCAAUGCCUAUCACAAAGCCUGGCACAGAGAAGAUAAGAGCAAAUAUCUGCGAUUGAAUGAGUAAAUGAUGAAUGAAAAGUGAAGACGGGAGAUGAGAGAGAGAUGGGGUUUUGCCAUGUUCCCGAGGCUGGUCUCCAACUCCUGAGCCCAAGCAAUCCACCCACCUCGACCUUCUAAAGUGCUGGGAUUACAGCGUGAGCCACCACACCAGCCAAUAAGGCCAAAUCUUAGCUCCUGAGAAGUUCACAGCCAGAGUGGGGAGACUGACUAAACAAAUGACCAUGGUGAAUUUCAUAACUUCAGAUGAGAAAGGUAUAAAGGAAGAGCUUUGGAAGGAGAGAGCUGCCCCUUCCUCCAGGGGCUCACUCACCUGUGGGCUCUGUAGACACCCUCUGAAAAGCAGUUUCUCAGCACAGUGAGCUUGAAGUCGUCUCCAUUCACACCUGGAGCACUGCCCUGUAUUGCAAAUGGGAGAGUAAAGUUGGUGUAAAUUUUAUGGAGGGCAAUUUGGCAAAACUAACAAAAUUUCGCCACCAUUUUCUGUUCUAGGACUGCUUCUUUCCUUGCAUGUGUAUAAAUUACAUUUGUAUAAGGUGUUGCAUGGCAGCACUGUUGGUAAUAACUAAGACUGGAAGUAACCUCUGUGCUCAACAUAAAUAACAAUGAUGGUGCAACUGCAUAAAGAAAUACUAUGUGACUAUAAAAAAAAAGAGGAACCUCUUUAGGUACUGAUCUGGAUCAUUCCAAGAUAUCCUGAUACAUGAAAAAGCAUGUAUCUGAACCCUGUUAUAUUAAUAAUAUGCUGCAUUUUGUAGGAAAAAAAGGAAAAAAGUAUAUAUAUGCAUACACACUCAUAUAAUUUGUAUAUGUAUAAACUAGCUCUGGAAGGAAACAAAAGAAACCAAUAGAUCCUCUGGGGAAGGGAACUGGGUGUCCCAGAGUGGGAAACUCCACUGUGUAUUCUUUUUACCAUUGGAAUUUUGAGCUUAUUAUGUUUUGUUUAUUUAUUUAUGUAUUUAUUAUUUUUUGAGACGGAGUCUCGCUCUGUUGCCUAGGCUGGAGUAUAGUGGCGCGAUCUUGGCUCAUUGCAACCUCCGCCUCCUGGGUUCAAGUGAUUCUUAUGCCUCAGCCUCCCAAGUAGCUGGGAUUAUAGGUGCCGGCUAAUUUUUCUAUUUUUAGUAGAGACAGGGUUUCACCAUGUUGCACAGGCUGGGAUUACAGGCAUGCGCCACCACAUCCUGCUAAUUUUUGUAUUCUUAGUAGAGACAGGGUUUCCCCAUGUUGGCCAGGCUGGUCUCAAACUCCUAACUUCAAGUGAUCCGCCCACCUCGGCCUCCCAAAGUGCUGAGAUUACAGGUGCGAGCCACUGUGCCUGGCCUGAUUUUUUAAAGAGCUCCCUCCCCCAGUCUCCCUAGCUGAGAUUGUGGGGUGAGGGCAAUUUGCAUCUCAGGGAAGGUAUGCUGGUCUCAUUUCAUCUCAAUGAUCCUUUAUCUCCUCCACCAGAAAUCCCAUCUUUGGUCGUUUCUUUCUUCACAUUGACUUGGCAUAAACUUUUACUGUUAUCAACAGCUGCUUAGCCUAAUAUUAGCUUUCAUUUUCUUUCUCCUUCCCACAGAAGGCUUUGUGCUUUCUCGAACUCCUGGUUUGGUCAGGGUAAGUUUCUGGAUUUCAGUCUUGGCUCUAGCGGCUGGCAGCUGUGUGGACACUCCACCAUCUCAGUCUUUAUUGCUUGACAAUUGUAGCUGCUUUCGGCAAAGUUUGUUAAGCUCAGGGCCUGUUCCAAUUGUCAGCUCUUCCUUCUCUGGUGGGGAAAGUCCCCUUUAAACCACGUGCUUAAAACUGAAACCUGCAGGCCAUCACCAAGGGGGGGUCUCCACACCCAUCUCAGCUCCACCAACUGCAGGCUCCCAAGUACCUCUUACACCCUCGCUGAUGACCUCCCUUGGAGGAAGUUCAAGGCCAA